rnacentral:rRNA from 1 species
GAGACCCACGCCAACAGUUGCCAGCUCGUCCUCCGGGAUGGAGGGGACACUGUKGGGACCGCCUCUGCUAAAGAGGAGGAAGGAAUGGGCAACGGUAGGUCAGCAUGCCCCGAAUUAUCYGGGCUACACGCGGGCUACAAUGGGUGGGACAAUGGGUAUCGACACCGAAAGGUGAAGGCAAUCUCCUAAACCCAUCCUUAGUUCGGAUUGUGGGCUGCAACUCGCCCACAUGAAGCUGGAAUCCGUAGUAAUCGUGUCUCAAAAUGGCACGGUGAAUAU